GAACGGGUAGUAACACGUAGGUGACCUGCCCCGGAGAGGGGGACAACCACUGGAAACGGUGGCUAAUACCCCAGAUGUCUUUGCUCUUAGAAAGCAAUGACUAAAGUUCCGGCGCUCCGGGAGGGGCCUGCCGGCCCAUCAGCUUGUUGGUAAGGUAAUGGCUUACCAAGGCAAAGACGGGUAGGGGGCGUGAGAGCGUGACCCCCCACACUGGUACUGAGACACGGACCAGAUACCUGCGGGUAGCAGCAGCAAGGAAUAUUGCGCAAUGGGCGAAAGCCUGACGCAGCAACACCGCGUGGAGGAUGAAGGCCUUCGGGUUGUAAACUCCUUUUCUGGGGGAAGAGAAAGGACGGUACCCCAGGAAUAAGUCUCGGCUAACUACGUGCCAGCAGCCGCGGUAAAACGUAGGAGGCGAGCGUUAUCCGGAUUUACUGGGCGUAAAGCGCAUGCAGGCGGUUUCUAAGUCGGACGUGAAAGCUCUCGGCUCAACUGGGAGAGGCCCGUUCGAAACUAGGAGACUUGAGGGUGGUAGAGGAGAGUGGAAUUCCCGGUGUAGUGGUGAAAUGCGUAGAUAUCGGGAGGAACACCAGUGGCGAAGGCGGCUCUCUGGGCCAGCCCUGACGCUCAGAUGCGAAAGCUAGGGGAGAGAACGGAUUAGAAACCCCGGUAUUCCUAGCCGUAAACGAUGUCAACUAGGCGUAGGAGGUUAUUGACCCCUUCUGUGCUGUAGCUAACGCG
rnacentral:rRNA from 1 species